GUGCCAGCAGCCGCGGUAAUACGUAUGGUGCGAACGUUGUUCGGAAUCACUGGGCAUAAAGAGCACGUAGGCGGUCGAGCAAGUCCGGUGUGAAAUCCCCCGGCUUAACCGGGGAACUGCACCGGAUACUAUUCGACUAGAGUGCAGGAGGGGAGAGUGGAAUUCCAGGUGGAGCGGUGAAAUGCGUAGAUAUCUGGAGGAACGCCGGCGGCGAAAGCGACUCUCUGGUCUGCAACUGACGCUGAGGUGCGAAAGCUAGGGGAGCAAACGGGAUUAGAUACCCGCGUAGUCC
rnacentral:rRNA from 1 species